UGGGCCCACACCCCGGGAAAAGGGAAAAGGGAAAAAAGGGCCCCUACCUGUGUUCAUGACUGAGGAGCUGAGGAACGAAGAGCAGGAGCUGACGAGAAGUCACUGAGUUCAAGUGUCCAAAUGCAGCAGGACUUCCCAUCUCACAGCACCUGGGGAUGUGCAACACCAGGCAAGCCCCAGCUCCAGCUCAUCCUGCCCUUACUUCUGCACCGCCUCUUCCUGACAUGCACCUGCCCUCAGCCACGCUGCCAGCUGGUCCCGUGCCUCAUGCACUGUGUAGCACACUUUCCGUGCGCUGCCAUGUACUGCAGGGACAAGGAGAUGGCAGCAGAUAAAGUGGUACAGUGAACUUAAAAGACUGCCAAAUAAAUGUCACAAGCCACAAAACAGGACAGUUAGGUAUGUAUUAGGACAUGAUUA